GAUGAACGCUGGCGGCGUGCCUAACACAUGCAAGUCGAGCGAGCGGCGGACGGGUGAGUAAAACGUGGAUAACUUACCUUAAGAAUGGGAUAACUUCGGGAAACCGGAACUAAUAACGGAAACUUAUCGCUGGAUCCGUGCUGUAUUAGCUAGGUGGUAAGGUAACGGCUGACCAAGGCAACGAUGCAUAGCCGAUCUGAGAGGGUGAUCGGCCACACUGGAACUGAGACACGGUCGAGACUCCUACGGGAGGCAGCAGUGGGGAAUAUUGAACAAUGGGCGCAAGCCUGAUGCAGCCAUGCCGCGUGUGUGAAGAAGGCCUUCGGGUUGUAAAGUACUUUCAGUGGGGAGGCGUUACUCGCAGAAGAAGCACCGGCUAACUCCGUGCCAGCAGCCGCGGUAAUAC
rnacentral:rRNA from 1 species